rnacentral:lncRNA from 1 species
CUGAAAGUUAAUUUGUGUUUUUUUGUUUUUUUUUUUCAGUUAUGUUUAACUUGAUAAAUUACAAAAAUCUUUGGUUUCACCUUUGAACUUGAACUUUCAACCUUACAUUUCUCUUUCCUUUAGUUUAAAGCCGUUUAGUGAUUUAUUUGUUUUGACAAUCAUUGUUUUAUGUUAGAACCCAGAGUAUGUAUUGGUUCAGUUUUAAAACGUUUUUAUAUCAUUUUACAAGAAUGGCAUAGUUCAUACACAUGUAGUGGUUGGUACAAGAUUUCAUAUUCUGUAAAUUUUACAAGAUAGGUUGUUCUGUUUCAAUGUAGGUGCUUUUAAUUCAUAUCAGAUGUACAAAAGUCUUAUCAAAGCAUUGCUUGAAAUGUUGGUUUUCCAUUCCAGGAUAAUUGUAUUCCACAAAAUACUGCUCCCUCAUGUCCAUGCUUGAUAGGUGUUCAGCUCAUAUUCUUACAGUCACAUUUGCUUAAAAACUGACCUAUUUAAAUUAUUUUUUUCAUAUAAUUCAAAUAGAAAUUUGCUAAAAUAUGAAAACAUUAUUUGUGUUCUGCUAUCACUCCAAAAAAAACCCUCUUAUUAGCUCAUUAGAUAUAACUGGUACAGAUUGGUAAAUUAUGGGAAGUCCUUUUCUUUACAUUGAAUGUCUACAAUUUUGAAAAAUAUAAGAAACUGAUACCAUAGAACAAAGUAAAAUUACAAAAAUACUAAACUCUAAGGAAAAUUCAAAACGGAAAGUUAUGUUAUUCUUUUUUAAGCUUUUUUUGAGCCUAUUGUUAUAUUUUGUUUUGUUGUAGGGUAUACAAUGUAAGCUUUAGUUUUAAAGGUAUGAUUAGUUUUUUUUACGUUUUGGGGUUACUCAAAAUUUUGGCUUUCUUAUCAGUCUGUUCACUUUAUACAUAGUGUAUGUUGAUUGAUUAAUAAGUGUUUAACACCGUUUUUAAUAUUUUGUGGCAGACAGUUUUUAUUGUCAGAGAAAGCCCUAGAGAACCACCAACCUUCAGUAAUAAAAUUAACUAUCCUA